CGGGGUGAGUAACACGUGGAUAACCUACCUAUAAGACUGGGAUAACUUCGGGAAACCGGAGCUAAUACCGGAUAAUAUUUUGAACCGCAUGGUUCAAAAGUGAAAGACGGUCUUGCUGUCACUUAUAGAUGGAUCCGCGCUGCAUUAGCUAGUUGGUAAGGUAACGGCUUACCAAGGCAACGAUGCAUAGCCGACCUGAGAGGGUGAUCGGCCACACUGGAACUGAGACACGGUCCAGACUCCUACGGGAGGCAGCAGAU
rnacentral:rRNA from 1 species